GGUUAAGUUAGAAAGGGCGCACGGUGGAUGCCUUGGCACUAGGAGCCGAAGAAGGACGGGACUAACACCGAUAUGCUUUGGGGAGCUGUACGUAAGCGUUGAUCCAGAGAUUUCCGAAUGGGGGAACCCACUAUCUUUAGUCGGAUAGUAUCCUUACGUGAAUACAUAGCGUGAGGAAGGCAGACCCA
rnacentral:rRNA from 1 species